rnacentral:rRNA from 1 species
UACGUAGGGGGCAAGCGUUGUCCGGAUUCAUUGGGCGUAAAGAGCGUGUAGGCGGCCAGGUAGGUCGGUUGUGAAAACUGGAGGCUCAACCUUCAGAGGUCGACCGAAACCAUCUGGCUAGAGUCCGGGGGAGGAGAGUGGAAUUCCUGGUGUAGCGGUGAAAUGCGCAGAUAUCAGGAAGAACACCGGUGGCGAAAGCGUUCUGCUAGACCUGUACUGACACUGAGGGACGAAAGCUAGGGGAGCGAAUGGG